UACGUAGGGUGCAAGCGUUGUCCGGAAUUAUUGGGCGUAAAGAGCUUGUAGGCGGUUUGUCGCGUCUGCUGUGAAAUUUCGGGGCUCAACCCCGAACUUGCAGUGGGUACGGGCAGACUAGAGUGUGGUAGGGGAGACUGGAAUUCCUGGUGUAGCGGUGAAAUGCGCAGAUAUCAGGAGGAACACCGAUGGCGAAGGCAGGUCUCUGAGCCACUACUGACGCUGAGAAGCGAAAGCAUGGGGAGCGAACAGG
rnacentral:rRNA from 1 species